AAUGACUCCUCCCACCAUAUUUUGAAGUUCCCCAAGUUAUGUUCUCAAUCCGAUAUCGAUUGGUCCAUGAAAUUGGACUAUUCAUGUUCGUACGAUAUUCGUUUUGAAAUGGAGUGGUUGGUGUUUUGCAUAGUUUCAGAGAUUGGAUUUCUCUCAAAACACAGCAAAUUACAGCUCCCGCCAGUUAUGUUCCCCAAGUUUUGUCGUCAAUCCUAUAUCGAUUGGUAAAUGAAAUUGGACAAUUCAGGUUCGUG
rnacentral:lncRNA from 1 species